rnacentral:rRNA from 1 species
UACAGAGGUCUCAAGCGUUGUUCGGAUUCAUUGGGCGUAAAGGGUGUGUAGGCGGUUUGGUAGGUCCGUUGUGAAAACUCGAGGCUCAACCUCGAGACGCCGAUGGAAACCAUCAGACUAGAGUCCGGAAGAGGAGAGUGGAAUUCCUGGUGUAGCGGUGAAAUGCGCAGAUAUCAGGAAGAACACCCGUGGCUAAGGCGGCUCUCUAGUACGGUACUGACGCUGAGACGCGAAAGCGUGGGGAGCGAACAGG